CCUACGGGUGGCAGCAGUGGGGAAUAUUGGGCAAUGGGCGCAAGCCUGACCCAGCAACGCCGCGUGAAGGAAGAAGGCUUUCGGGUUGUAAACUUCUUUUCUCAGGGACGAAGCAAGUGACGGUACCUGAGGAAUAAGCCACGGCUAACUACGUGCCAGCAGCCGCGGUAAUACGUAGGUGGCAAGCGUUAUCCGGAUUUACUGGGUGUAAAGGGCGUGUAGGCGGGACUGCAAGUCAGAUGUGAAAACCACGGGCUCAACCUGUGGCCUGCAUUUGAAACUGUAGUUCUUGAGUACUGGAGAGGCAGACGGAAUUCCUAGUGUAGCGGUGAAAUGCGGAGAUAUUAGGAGGAACACCAGUGGCGAAGGCGGUCUGCUGGACUGCCACUGACAUUGAUGCUCGAAAGUGUGGGUAUCAAACAGGAUUAGAUACCCGGGUAGUC
rnacentral:rRNA from 1 species